GGGUCAUUAUGCAAGCACAGACUGCUAUUAUUGGUGGCUAGCUUAGACCAGAUAUUCAUCAUGGAGUCCGAUAUUAACUCCCACUUCAUCGAAAGCAGCAGGUUACAUUUAGAACCAAGUUCUAGUAUUAUAAUGGUAUCAUCCUCGAAUCAUAUCUAGCUUACAAAUAUUUCUCUCUUUUAAAAUUCAGAGAAACUUGUCGGCAGUUGGGGCCAUCAGGGAUGGGGGUAAUGGUGCUACUUCAUUCAUACCUAAAAAUUGACACCAAACCUAACUUGAUAUCAAUCUGACCUGAACCAAAUAUAUAAUUCCUAAUGAAAAAUAAUCUCCAUUCUUGAUUAAUAUGACCAUAACCUUUUGCACGAACCAGAAUUGCCCAACCUAAAAAUGUAUAAGUUAGAGAAAACAUGGGACUGAGUUUAGAUUCAA
rnacentral:lncRNA from 1 species